rnacentral:misc_RNA from 1 species
GCUGACACGCUGUCCUCUGGCGACCCGUCGCUGGAGAGGUCGGGCCUCUGGAUGCGUGGGGGGUCUCUGGUCUACCGGUGACCCGGCUAGCCGGCCCUGCUCUGGGUUGAGCCGCCGGCUGGGGCCCGUGUGCCUUGCCUCCCGUGCAUCCGUCUGAGUGUCCCGGCUCCCUGGUGCCGCCCUGGGCCCGGGUCUCUUCCGACUCACCUGGGCGUGGCGGGGAAAGGCCGGUGCGGGCGGGCGGGCUCCCGUCUGCCUGCGUGUGCGCUCCCUGCUGCGGGCACCUGGGGCGGUCGCGACGACCCCGUUCCGUUGGCUCCGUGCCGUGCGUGUCAGGCGUCCUCCUCUCCUCUGGGGUUGUCCGCCGUCCCUUCCCCGGAGCGGGGCUGGCCGGCCUCGGCCCGUGGGCUCCGUGGCUUUGCUGAGGUUGACUCCUUCGCCCCGCUCUGGGUCUCUCCCGAUCGAUGUGGUGACGUCACGCUCUCCCGGGCCGCGACCGAUCCGCGGUGGGCGAGGGACGGACAUUCUCGGUGAAUGGGACCGCUCUUCUCGUCCCGCCCGCGGGGGCCCCCUUGCCUCUCCUGCACCCUGCCUGUGGGGUCUGGAUCGGGAGGUGUAGGGGGUACGGAAUCCGGCCCGACCUCGCCGUGCUCCCCCGUUCUCCGCCUGGCGGGGGCCGGUGGGGUCCUCUGACGCGGCAGGCAUCCCUCGCUCUCGCCUCCUGUGGUUGUUGCCUUGUCGGGGGCGGCCCCUCUCCGCGGCGGUGGGGGGCUCGUCCCGAUGGCCCGUCGUGCUGCCCUCGCCGGGGUGGUGCGAGCGUUGGCUCGGCUUGGGCCUUUUGCGGUGCUCCUGGAGCGCUCCGGGUUGUCCCUCAGGUGCCCGAGGCCGAGCGGUGGUGUCGUUCCCGCCCCCGGGGCCCCCUCCUCCGGUUGCCGCCAUGGGGUCUGCGUGUGGGUCCCGAGGAGAAGCGCUCAGCUCGUCGGAGGGUUGUCGUCGAGGCGAUCGAUCGAGGUUUUGUGCCCCUCGACGCGGGUUUGAGGGGGUGCCUCGGGUUCCGCUCCUCUCGCCGUAGACCUCAUCCCUCCCUUCCCUGGGUGUCCCUGAGCGCCUCCGUGGGCGGCCCGGCGAGGGGCGACCGGUGGGUGGGGGAGUGUGACCCGCCCUCGGUGAGAAAGCCUUCUCUAGCGAUCCCAGAGGUGUGCUUUGGGGGUACCGGACUCCCCCGGCCCGCCGCCUCUCUCUGCGUUGUGGUAGCGCUUCCGCGUGGCGAUUGGAUUCGCUCGUGUGUAGGCAGAGUUCCCUCUUCCUCCUCGGUGGCGGGGAGAAGUGGGGUCCGCCGGUCUCCGCGGUGGGGACCGAGCGCCGCUCGUCGCCUACUGUGGCCCGCGCCUCCCCCCUCUGAGUCGGGGGAGGGUCCCGCCGGGCCGGGCCCUGUGUCCUCGCCGUUGGGGAGGUCGUCGCUUGAAGGCUGGGUGCGUGUGGCGUCCCGUCUGGCGCGUGACCCCCUUCCGCUGCGAGCCGGCUCUCCGCCCGCUCCCGUGCCGUGCCGAGCCCUUGCCGGUGCCGGCGACCGCGCUGUGUGCGGGGCGACGGGUCGGGCCGCCUGGGCCCGGGAAAGCGUCCCCACGGUGGGGCGUGCCGGUCUCCCGGAGCGGGACCGGGUCGCGGAUGGACGAGAUCCUGGGUGUGUCGCCCUGGCGUCGGGCUUGUCGCUGUGGUCGCUCCGGGGCCCCCGGCGGUGGGGUCCGGGUCCCGUGAGGGGUCUCCGCGGUGGUGCCGAGGGCCGGCCGGUGUCCCGGGUGGGAGGGCUGCGGGACCGCCCUCGUGUCUGUGGCGGUGGGAUCCCGUGGUCGUGUCUUCCCCGGUGGCCCGGCUGUGCCCGAGGUUCCCGCCCGGGUCCUCGGCGGGCUCCCGUGCCCCUGCCCUCGUGGGCCCCGGCCCUGCGUGUGCGCCCGCUCCCCGCCGCUGCCUGCCGAUCCUUUCUCUCUGAGCGGCUCUCCGGCUGCGCCGGGGCGGCCCCGUCUGGGACCCGAGCCGGCUCCGCCUUGAGGGGCGUCGCCCCCGGCCACCAUCGGCCGGUGUCCGCGUCCCCCCGGCGUGUGCCUCGGCUUCGCGCACCGGCGGCGGUCGGCCCCGCGCGGGCCCGGUGGGCGUUGGAGAGGUCGGGUCGGCCCGCCGCGUGUGUAGGGAAGACGGUUAUGGGGCGCUGGCUGCGACUGCGGUGGCGGUGUUGGGGAGCCGCGGGCCCCCGAGAGGCGUGCGUGGGUCGCCGAAGGCCAGGCGGCCGCUCCGUGUGCCGCGCGGGACCGCCCCUGUGUGCCCAAACGGGCCGCUGGCGGUGAGACCCCGUUGUGUGUCCACGGCUGCUGCGGUCGUCUGUGCCCGAGGCUUCUCCCCGGAUCCUCGCGGUGGCCCGCCGCCCACCCCCUCCCCGCUCGCCGCCUUCCCCGCGCCUUCCACGGUCGCCUCGGGCUUGCCCGGGGUCUCGUCUCCUCCCGAACCCGCUCUCCCGCUCCGCGUCCGCGCGCCCCGGGUGCGCGCCUCGCUUCCCGGGCCCGCCGGGGCCCCUCCCCGAGGCGUCUUGGGUGUCGACGUCCGGGGGCGGCGGCGUGUCCUUCCCCCGCGUUGCGGGUCCCGUUCGGCGCGUGCGUGCGCCCGAGCGCGCCCCGGUGGUCUCUCCCGGCCAGCCGUCGUGUGUAAGUAAGGUCGACCUCCGGCCUGCCGGCCGCCCGCCCCCCGGUUCGAGGGGGGGGCCCGGGCCGGGACCUCCGGUCCCGGUCCCGGUCCCUCGUUCCGGGUCGGUGGGUCGGCCGGACGGCUUCCGUCGCCUUCUGGCCGUCGUUGUGGGUCGGGGCGGUGCCGGUCACCGGCCCCCCUCCCCUCCUGCGCCUGCGCCCGCCGGCGUGGCCCGGGGUCUGGCCUCGGCCGGCACCCGGACCUCGACCGGGCGGGCGCGCGGGCGCUGCGGCCGCACGGCGUGACUGUCCCCCGGGUCGGGCACCCCGGGCCGCCUCCCGCUCGCCGCCCGAACGCCGGGGCCCCGCCCCGCGGGGUGUGGGUAUCGCCGCGCCCCCUCGCCGCCCCCCACUGCGUCUUCCGCGCGCGUGGCCGCCGACCCCCUCCUGGCUGCCCGGCACAAAACGGGUCGGGCGUUGUGCCCUCCACUCGCACGCGGUUGUGGAGAGAGGCGGGGGUGGGGUGUGGGGUUGGUGGUGGUGGAGGUGGAGGUGGAGGUGGAGGUGAUGGGGCGCGUGCGGUGUGCGCGUGGGACUCGUUCCCCGCGCUCCCGCGCCCGCCUCUCUCCCUCCGCCCUUCCUCUGCCCCGCCCCGCCCCGCCCCGCCCCGCCCCACCCCGCCUGGUCCCGCGCCUGCCGGCUACGGGCGGGGAUGAUGGCGUUCGCGCCGCCCGCACCCUCCUCCGCCCGCGGUCCGUCCCUCCCUCCCUCUCGUGCCCCCGGACGCCGGGUCCGCCGCCCUCGCGGCCUACCUCGCC